rnacentral:rRNA from 1 species
CCUGAGAAACCCAAAAGAUCGAAUGGGGAGAUUCAUCGUCAGCGAUUUUGGUACGUGUGCGGUCUCGCGAUGCCGGUGACUUCUUGUCCCAAGGCACGCGUCCGCAUAUUUUUUACUGCCUCGAUCGCCGGCGUGCACUUCUUCCCUAGUAGGACGUCGCGACCCGUUGGGUGUCGGUCUACGGCCCGGGUGGUAGCCUGUCUCGUGUGCGCUUCGCGGCGUUACGCGGUUCAGACCCCUGGNNNNNNNNCCGGCUGCCCGGCGGUAUUCGCACGGUAUCUGGCCGCAAAUAUUCGAACUGCGUCCGGCCCGUCGCAAGCGCGACAAGUGUUUCCCGGUUGUACGGAUCCAAUGCCGUCACCGGGACCUUGUCAGCUGUUGGUUGACGGUGUCCUAGGACUGGCUAAUACAAUUAUGAUACCGGUCGGCGACGCUACUGCUUUGGGUACUUUCAGGACCCGUCUUGAAACACGGA